CGCUCAGGACGAACGCUGGCGGCGUGCUUAACACAUGCAAGUCGAGCGGUAAGGCCCUUCGGGGUACACGAGCGGCGAACGGGUGAGUAACACGUGAGCAACCUGCCCCUGACUCCGGGAUAAGCGGUGGAAACGCCGUCUAAUACCGGAUAUGACCUGUCACCUCAUGGUGGCGGGUGGAAAGUUUUAUCGGUCAGGGAUGGGCUCGCGGCCUAUCAGCUUGUUGGUGGGGUAACGGCCUACCAAGGCGAUUACGGGUAGCCGGCCUGAGAGGGCGACCGGCCACACUGGGACUGAGACACGGCCCAGACUCCUGCGGGAGGCAGCAGUGGGGAAUAUUGCACAAUGGGCGAAAGCCUGAUGCAGCGACGCCGCGUGGGGGAUGACGGCCUUCGGGUUGUAAACCUCUUUUACCACCAACGCAGGCUCCGGGUUCUCUCGGGGUUGACGUAGG
rnacentral:rRNA from 1 species